GCUGCAGCAAAAUCUGUAGCCGGGCGUGAGAACCCGUGUAAACGAAGCGCACAACACGCGCCAGCGUGUUUUUU
rnacentral:sRNA from 1 species